AUUGAACGCUGGCGGCAGGCCUAACACAUGCAAGUCGAGCGGAUGAAGAGAGCUUGCUCUCUGAUUUAGCGGCGGACGGGUGAGUAAUGCCUAGGAAUCUGCCUGGUAGUGGGGGAUAACGCUCCGAAAGGAACGCUAAUACCGCAUACGUCCCACGGGAGAAAGCAGGGGACCUUCGGGCCUUGCGCUAUCAGAUGAGCCUAGGUCGGAUUAGCUAGUUGGUGAGGUAAUGGCUCACCAAGGCUACGAUCCGUAACUGGUCUGAGAGGAGGAUCAGUCACUGGAACUGCGCAACGGUCCAGACUCCUACGGGAGGCAGCAGUGGGGAAUAUUGGACAAUGGGCGAAAGCCUGAUCCAGCCAUGCCGCGUGUGUGAAGAAGGUCUUCGGAUUGUAAAGCGCUUUAAGUUGGGAGGAAGGGCAGUAAGUUAAUACCUUGCUGUUUUGACGUUACCGACAGAAUAAGCACCGGCUAACUUCGUGCCAGCAGCCGCCGUAAAAC
rnacentral:rRNA from 1 species